GGCGCUAUAGCCAAGUGGUUACGGCGACAGAUUAGAAUAUUUCUGCUGCGUGUUUGUUUAUCUAUCUGUUCCUCUUUGAGGGCGCAGGUUCAAAUCCUGCUGGCGUCG